rnacentral:rRNA from 1 species
CAGUCGCCGCGGUAAUACGAAGGGGGCUAGCGUUGUUCGGAAUUACUGGGCGUAAAGGGCGCGUAGGCGGCCAUUCAAGUUAGAUGUGAAAGCCCUGGGCUCAACCUAGGAAUUGCAUUUGAUACUGUUUGGCUUGAGUUCGGGAGAGGUGAGUGGAAUUCCCAGUGUAGAGGUGAAAUUCGUAGAUAUUGGGAAGAACACCAGUGGCGAAGGCGGCUCACUGGACCGACACUGACGCUGAGGCGCGAAAGCGUGGGGAGCAAACAGGAUUAGAUACCCGCGUAGUCCCUGUCUCUUAUAC